rnacentral:rRNA from 1 species
CUAGCCCUAAACGGUGCUUGCUUGCUGUAAGUGGAAUCGACCCCACUUGUGGCGGAGCUAACGCGUUAAGCAAGCCGCCUGGGAAGUACGGUCGCAAGAUUAAAACUCAAAGAAAUUGACGGGGGCCUGCACAAGCGGUGGAGUAUGUGGCUUAAUUCGAUGCAACGCGAAGAACCUUACCUGGCCUUGACAUGCAAGUAGUAGAAGGAUGAAAGUCUAACGAGGUAGCAAUACCAGCUUGCACAGGUGC